UGUUCGUUGCGUAGCGUUGCGAUGUGGGACGAGGUGAACCGGAACCGGAAAGUAGGAUAACGUUGGAACUAACAAGCACUCCUCACGCUCCCCACACUGCAGCCUGCAUGCGAGGCAGGAGGAGGCGCUGCUUCUUGGCAGAUGAAAAUUUCAGUUCCAUUUAAAUAUUUCCGCUCCUCAGGAAAAUUUCGUCUUCGGUGCUGUGGAGCGCAUGGUUUGUCAUCUUGACAAGAUCAGGUUUGUUGCUGAUAGUUUACGUAAGGUGCGCGUGAUUUUGGUUGCUUUGCUACUUUUCAUUUCCGUUCCGCCUGUCAUCGCAUCGUUACGCGGCGAAAAGUAGCCAGCAGGCUUCUGCCAUCCCUUCAGCGGUCAUAUUUCAGCUUAUUCCACUGACGUCAUCGACUCCUAUAUAAUCAGACGACUCCUGCGCACCUCCACGUGUAGCUCUCAAACCAACAUUAGAAACAGACAAUGUCAUACAACCACGUAACACAGCGGUAAAAUCGUAGAUGACUGUGCCUGGUACACAGGGCCUUGGUUGCCAAUUUGGGGCGGCCUUGAGCACGGCUCCCGAGCGUGCGAUUCAAGGGACCAGGGAUGUAGUGAUGUGAAGGAUGCAGGUGGGAGAGCGUGCGCCUGGUGACCCGGCGCAGGAAGCUGUGUGGUUCGAGCCUGGCUCCCGGCACAGUGUCGUCCCCCACGGCGAUGGAUAUGAGCGGUGUUGGCGCCAGAAGACCGUACUGAGCGUGAUCCGUCCGCGCCACUGGUUUAUGAGACGCACAGUGUCUGCUGUGGAGUUGGGUGGCAUCAAUGCACAGUCAGGUGCCGUAACUAAGCUAGGGUAUCAUGGCUUGUCAUUUUUUGCAGAUAUGGGCCAACGGCCCAAAACCGAAGGCUUGUCGGUCGUUAAUGUUUCAGUGUCACGAUCGAUUGCCGUCUGUCGAAUCCAGCUGUUUUUUAUGGAACAAAUAAGCGUACGUAAACCACGAAGUGGAGAAGAUAUCAUUAUUCUCCAAGAGAGUUAUGUCAUGUCCAGUGACUGCGGGGUUCUGCGAAUUCCUCAGUGAGGCUGCUGGCGGCGGCCGACCAGCAGGCGGGCGCCGGCAUCACGCUCGCCUCGGGCGUGACGCUCUCCUCGCUGGGCGCGCCGCCCGGCCCGAUGGCGGUGGUGGGCUCCGGGCCGCGGCCGCCGGACCGCGCCGACCGGCGCAGCUUCCCCUGCUCCGUCUGCGGCAAGGAGUUCGGCUACCCGCACCACAUGCGCCGCCACGUGGAGACGGUGCACACCAUGUACCCCAGUUACGUGUUCUGCCCGGAGUGCGGCCGCGUCUACAAGAACAAGAACAGCUUGAGUGUGCACAUGUCCAUGUACCACAACUCGCAG